UACGUAGGGUGCGAGCGUUGUCCGGAAUUAUUGGACGUAAAGAGCUCGUAGGCGGUCUGUCGCGUCGAUCGUGAAAACUUGGGGCUUAACCCUGAGCUUGCGGUCGAUACGGGCAUGACUGGAGUUCGGCAGGGGAGACUGGAAUUCCUGGUGUAGCGGUGAAAUGCGCAGAUAUCAGGAGGAACACCGGUGGCGAAGGCGGGUCUCUGGGCCAUAACUGACGCUGAGGAGCGAAAGCGUGGGGAGCGAACAGGG
rnacentral:rRNA from 1 species